GAUGAACGCUGGCGGCGUGCCUAAUACAUGCAAGUCGAGCGAACGGACGAGAAGCUUGCUUCUCUGAUGUUAGCGGCGGACGGGUGAGUAACACGUGGAUAACCUACCUAUAAUACUGGGAUAACUUCGGGAAACCGGAGCUAAUACCGGAUGAUAUUUUGAACCGCAUGGUUCAAAAGUGAAAGACGGUCUUGCUGUCACUUAUAGAUGGAUCCGCGCUGCAUUAGCUAGUUGGUAAGGUAACGGCUUACCAAGGCAACGAUGCAUAGCCGAGCUGAGAGGGUGAUCGGCCACACUGGAACUGAGACACGGUCCAGACUCCUACGGGAGGCAGCAGUAGGGAAUCUUCCGCAAUGGGCGAAAGCAUGACGGAGCAACGCCGCGUGAGUGAUGAAGGUCUUCGGAUCGUAAAACUCUGUUAUUAGGGAAGAACAUAUGUGUAAGUAACUGUGCACAUCUUGACGGUACCUAAUCAGAAAGCCACGGCUAACUACGUG
rnacentral:rRNA from 1 species